rnacentral:rRNA from 1 species
AACGCUAGCUACAGGCUUAACACAUGCAAGUCGAGGGGCAUCAGGGUAGCAAUACCGCUGGCGACCGGCGCACGGGUGAGUAACACGUAUCCAACCUACCGUUAACUCGGGGAUAGCCUUUCGAAAGAAAGAUUAAUACCCGAUAGUAUAUUUUCUUCGCAUGUUGAAAAUAUUAAAGAAUUUCGGUUAUCGAUGGGGAUGCGUUCCAUUAGGCAGUUGGCGGGGUAACGGCCCACCAAACCUACGAUGGAUAGGGGUUCUGAGAGGAAGGUCCCCCACAUUGGAACUGAGACACGGUCCAAACUCCUACGGGAGGCAGCAGUGAGGAAUAUUGGUCAAUGGACGCGAGUCUGAACCAGCCAAGUAGCGUGAAGGAUGACUGCCCUAUGGGUUGUAAACUUCUUUUAUAUGGGAAUAAAGUUCUCCACGUGUGGAGUUUUGUAUGUACCAUUAUGAAUAAGCAUCGGCUAACUCCGUGCCAGCAGCCGCGGUAAUACGGAGGAUGCAAGCGUUAUCCGGAUUUAUUGGGUUUAAAGGGAGCGUAGGUGGACUGGUAAGUCAGUUGUGAAAGUUUGCGGCUCAACCGUAAAAUUGCAGUUGAUACUGUCAGUCUUGAGUACAGUAGAGGUGGGCGGAAUUCGUGGUGUAGCGGUGAAAUGCUUUGAUAUCACGAAGAACUCCGAUUG